rnacentral:rRNA from 1 species
GAUGAACGCUGGCGGCGUGCCUAAUACAUGCAAGUCGAGCGAACAGACGAGGAGCUUGCUCCUCUGACGUUAGCGGCGGACGGGUGAGUAACACGUGGAUAACCUACCUAUAAGACUGGGAUAACUUCGGGAAACCGGAGCUAAUACCGGAUAAUAUAUUGAACCGCAUGGUUCAAUAGUGAAAGACGGUUUUGCUGUCACUUAUAGAUGGAUCCGCGCCGCAUUAGCUAGUUGGUAAGGUAACGGCUUACCAAGGCAACGAUGCGUAGCCGACCUGAGAGGGUGAUCGGCCCCACUGGAACUGAGACGCGGUCCAGACUCCUACGGGAGGCAGCAGUAGGGAAUCUUCCGCAAUGGGCGAAAGCCUGACGGAGCAACGCCGCGUGAGUGAUGAAGGUCUUCGGAUCGUAAAACUCUGUUAUUAGGGAAGAACAAAUGUGUAAGUAACUAUGCACGUCUUGACGGUACCUAAUCAGAAAGCCACGGCUAACUACGUG